CUGCGAAUGGCUCAUUAAAUCAGUUAUCGUUUAUUUGAUAGUACCUUACUACUUGGAUAACCGUGGUAAUUCUAGAGCUAAUACAUGCUAAAAACCCCGACUUCGGGAGGGGUGUAUUUAUUAGAUAAAAAACCAAUGCCCUUCGGGGCUCUUUGGUGAUUCAUGAUAACUUAACGGAUCGCAUGGCCUUGCGCCGGCGACGGUUCAUUCAAAUUUCUGCCCUAUCAACUUUCGAUGGUAAGGUAUUGGCUUACCAUGGUUUCAACGGGUAACGGGGAAUUAGGGUUCGAUUCCGGAGAGGGAGCCUGAGAAACGGCUACCACAUCCAAGGAAGGCAGCAGGCGCGCAAAUUACCCAAUCCCGACACGGGGAGGUAGUGACAAUAAAUACUGAUACAGGGCUCUUUUGGGUCUUGUAAUCGGAAUGAGUACAAUUUAAACCCCUUAACGAGGAACAAUUGGAGGGCAAGUCUGGUGCCAGCAGCCGCGGUAAUUCCAGCUCCAAUAGCGUAUAUUAAAGUUGUUGCAGUUAAAAAGCUCGUAGUUGAACCUUGGGCCUGGCUGGCCGGUCCGCCUCACCGCGUGUACUGGUCCGGCCGGGCCUUUCCUUCUGGUGAGCCUCAUGCCCUUCACUGGGUGUGUUGGGGAACCAGGACUUUUACUGUGAACAAAUUAGAGUGUUCAAAGCAGGCCUUUGCUCGAAUACAUUAGCAUGGAAUAAUAGAAUAGGACGUGCGGUCCUAUUUUGUUGGUUUCUAGGACCGCCGUAAUGAUUAAUAGGGAUAGUCGGGGGCAUCAGUAUUCAAUUGUCAGAGGUGAAAUUCUUGGAUUUAUUGAAGACUAACUACUGCGAAAGCAUUUGCCAAGGAUGUUUUCAUUAAUCAGUGAACGAAAGUUAGGGGAUCGAAGACGAUCAGAUACCGUCGUAGUCUUAACCGUAAACUAUGCCGACUAGGGAUCGGGCGAUGUUUCUAUCUUGACUCGCUCGGCACCUUACGAGAAAUC
rnacentral:rRNA from 1 species